UUAGUAACACCCAGGUUAGUCCUACUUAAUUCUUACCUGCAGCCAAAGUGGACUUAGCAUCUCCUUGCAUGCCUGGUAAAGUCAAGGGUUUUCAGCCAGGGCCUGUGUAUAAAGCAGAAGCAGCACAGAGUCUGGUUUGAAGCUUAGUGCUUGGGUUCAGACAGUUGUGGGUUACAAUCCCUUCUACACAUGUUCUCUGUGGAAACCAUUUGGUUCUCUGUGCUUGGAACUCGCCUGCAACGGGACAAAGCCAUCUCACCUAGACUGUUGUUAUGAAGAUUGAAUUAGGUGAUUCUGAGAGGCAUUUAUGCGUCCUCCCUGAGUAACAAUCCAUGAAAAGUGGGCGUCAUUGCUGAAGCUCAAGGAAGAAAUAUGAAAUUUGAUUAUAUCCUUAUUCACGGCAUUGGGUCACCAACUCAGCACUUUUUAUGAAAGUAGCAUCUGACCUGGCAAAGGCUGUGUCAUCUUAUUACCUCAGAAAGACAAAUUUACGGGGUCAGACGAUGGAUGGCUUGUAGAUUUCUCAAUGGGCUGGAAGGAAGGAGAGAAAAAGAGAGACAGGAGAGAGUACACAUUUAAUUCUGCUUCCCCUAGGGUGAUAUUUCCUUCCUCCCCUUCCAGGGUUCUCAAAAAGGCAUUCUAGGAAGUCCUGUAAAAUACAUGCUCAUAAAAAUCUCAUAAUUUCCACAAAUUGUUGAGAAUUUAAAACUCGGUUGGGAGUUUGCUGUUUCAGCCUGAGACACCGGGGUCACGUUUCAGUGCCUGCAGUCUUGAGACAGUACCAGGCAUCUGGGAUGAAGCUGAGGAAAGAAGAUGUGGGGGCCCUGCUGGCCUGCUCCUUCUCUCGAAAGACGCUUACCGGCUGCUGGUGUGUCACAGGGCUUUAGGAUUUGGAAAAACAGAGGGAUUUAAAAGAAGAUAGAAUGGUCAGAAUUUCGAGAACUGUGUGCUGAAGUGCCAUCUUUAGGGUGCUCAUAACACGGCCUUACAACAUUAGAGGUGCUGGAAUCAUGGAAGAGGCAUCUGGACUCUGUAAUGUCCUUCCCCCUGGAAAAUCUGCUCCAGAAGUGGGGGAUUGGGAGCUGUCAACAUAUGAGCCAUCUUUUGCUCCGUUCAAGAUGGUAGGGGCAUUCUCAACAUGCCCCUCACUCUGAUUCUGCCUCACUUUUAUUUUAGAAUUUUCCACUGCCUUUUCUGGAAUGUGCUUUUUCAACCCUCAAAAUCUGUAGAGAAGAAAUAAGCAGAAACCGAAAUGGCUUUCUGGUGUUCUCCAUGCUCUCAGCUUACUGGAAAAUCGAGCCGCAGGCUCGAGGCUGGACUUUAAGGCAGAGCACUGCAAUUAUAGUGCUAUGGCCUUGGCUUCCUUUCUCAUCACCCAGGUACAGUCCUGCAGUCCUCAGAGGAUGCCAGUCCCACACAGGGGGAUCCUUCUCCAUAGGAAAACCGAGGAACAAUGCAGGUUCGAGGUGCACAGUGGCUAAGCACACUCAGUCCUCAAGAUCUUUCCUCUCAAAUGCUAAUGCUACCUUCAGAUGGGCUGCUGCCUGCUACCAUUUCAACAUUGAGUCCUUUAAGAUGCCAUCAGAGAGAGGGGAAGCAAGAGGCCAAGAAAAAUGAAAGGCCCUGCAUGUUUUUCUUCGGGAAGGCUGUGCAGUCUGCUCUGAGGAGACAGAUCAACCUAGCCCUUCUCCAGGACGAACUCCGAAAACCACAGGAAUUCACGUUCAAAGGAUGACGCAUCUCAGAAUCAGUGAAUUUUAGGAAAAUGACUCGAUAACUGCAACGGUGAUGUCAUGUGUGUGUCUACUUUAGAGAGCAGAUGGUCGAUCUGGUGCUAAUUUGCCCAAUACGGUAGCUACGCGGCAAUGAAAUUCCAAAACUGGCACAAGGCGGGCCUGGUUCCAGGAUUUCCACGAAACUUGUGGGGCUACAGGCCAGUGGAACACUUCCAAAGGGCUUGACACCAGGCCAAUGGCCUUCUUAGAACACUGUCAUCAUUGAUUCUGUAUCUACAGAAGUCAUGUAACUGUGGCUGCCUCUUUUCAAUGGAAACAGAGCGAAAUACAACCUGGUCAGCUAAAUCGUGCUGACCUUAAAAACACUGCAUCCUCUUAGGCAACCACUUUGGCUUAUAAACCACAUGUACAAUAUUCCUGCUACUUCAAACAUGACUUUUUUAAUGAGCCAAAAAAAAAAAAAUCUAAGUUUGUAAAUAAACCGAAUUCAUUGCCA
rnacentral:lncRNA from 1 species